rnacentral:rRNA from 1 species
AACGUAGGUGGCGAGCGUUAUCCGGAUUUACUGGGCGUAAAGCGCUUGUAGGUGGUUCUAUAAGUUGGGUGUGAAAUCUCCGGGCUUAACUUGGAGAGGCCAUUCAAUACUGUAGGGCUAGAGGAUAUUCGAGGGAAGUGGAAUUCCUGGUGUAGUAGUGAAAUGCGUAGAUAUCAGGAGGAACACCCGUGGCGAAGGCGGCUUCCUAGGAUAUAUCUGACACUGAGAAGCGACAGCUAGGGGAGCAAACAGG